rnacentral:rRNA from 1 species
AUUGAACGCUGGCGGCAUGCCUUACACAUGCAAGUCGAACGGUAACGGGCCUUCGGGUGCCGACGAGUGGCGAACGGGUGAGUAAUACAUCGGAACGUGCCCGAUCGUGGGGGAUAACGAGGCGAAAGCUUUGCUAAUACCGCAUACGAUCUACGGAUGAAAGCAGGGGACCGCAAGGCCUUGCGCGGACGGAGCGGCCGAUGGCAGAUUAGGUAGUUGGUGGGAGAAAAGCUUACCAAGCCGACGAUCUGUAGCUGGUCUGAGAGGAUGAUCAGCCACACUGGGACUGAGACACGGCCCAGACUCCUACGGGAGGCAGCAGUGGGGAAUUUUGGACAAUGGGCGCAAGCCUGAUCCAGCCAUGCCGCGUGCAGGAUGAAGGCCUUCGGGUUGUAAACUGCUUUUGUACGGAACGAAAAGCCUUCUUUUAAUACAGGAGGGUCAUGACGGUACCGUAAGAAUAAGCACCGGCUAACUACGUG